GACAGAGGGUGCAAACGUUUGUUCGGAAUUACUGGGCGUAAAGCGAGUGUAGGCGGUUCGGUAAGUCGGAUGUGAAAGCCCCGGGCUCAACCCGGGAAGUGCACUCGAUACUGCCGAGCUAGAGUAUCGGAGAGGUUGGUGGAAUUCUCGGUGUAGAGGUGAAAUUCGUAGAUAUCGAGAGGAACACCGGUGGCGAAGGCGGCCAACUGGACGAAUACUGACGCUGAGACUCGAAAGCGUGGGGGAGCAAACAGG
rnacentral:rRNA from 1 species